UACGUAGGGUGCGAGCGUUGUCCGGAAUUAUUGGGCGUAAAGGGCUCGUAGGCGGUUUGUCACGUCAGGAGUGGAAACUCGGGGCUCAACCCCGAGCCUGCUUCUGAUACGGGCAGACUGGAGGUAUGCAGGGGAGAACGGAAUUCCUGGUGUAGCGGUGAAAUGCGCAGAUAUCAGGAGGAACACCGGUGGCGAAGGCGGUUCUCUGGGCAUUACCUGACGCUGAGGAGCGAAAGUGUGGGGAGCGAACAGG
rnacentral:rRNA from 1 species